GGUUCAGAGAAAAAGUACAUUCACAAUCCACAGAGCAGUUUGUGACCAGAUCUCUUCCUCUUACUUUUCUCUCAUCUCCUCUCUCAAAAAUAAACCAAAUAAAUAGAUCUGAAUUCUUAAUCCAUCUCAUGUUUGAUCUAUGUUAUAUUAAUUCAAAAAGAAUACAAGGUUGAGUUUAUAGAACAAUUAGUAUAUUUGAAAGAGUUCCAACAUAUUAGAUUUGCAUCAAAUGUCUUCCACCAAGGAAGAUUCUCUGGGAGAGUCGCUUGAAAUCUACGGGCUGCAGCAUAUACAACUCCACAGACCACAAUCUCACUCUUGAAUCUUACACAGAGUGUUGUGCGCAAACUGUAAUUUGCAAGAUUCGAGUGUAUUUGAGUGUAUUCUCUCCUAAUAAAGCUAUCAAUUCUCUCUAUAUAUGUGUUGUUCUGGCAAAAUACAUUUCAACAGACGCAAUGACAUUCUAUUGUAAUGAAAUUCGUCUGAGUAGAUACGAUAACAUAAUAUGAAAUUCUAUAAAAUUAAUAAGCAAAAGAGUUUUGCACUUUA